UACAGAGGGUGCAAGCGUUGCUCGGAAUUAUUGGGCGUAAAGGGUAGGUAGGUGGUCUUGUUUGUCUGGGGUGAAAGCCUUGAGCUUAACUCAAGAAGUGCCCCAGAAACGGCAAGACUAGAGUACUGGAGAGGGUCGUGGAAUUCCCGGUGUAGCGGUGAAAUGCGUAGAGAUCGGGAGGAACACCAGAGGCGAAGGCGGCGACCUGGACAGCUACUGACACUCAACUACGAAAGCGUGGGGAGCAAACAGG
rnacentral:rRNA from 1 species